GGUGCUUAAAGACAUGAGACUGAGGCUACCAACAUGACGUCACUGAACAGGGAGUCAGGAGCUUUGCACAUAGUCAACUCUUGCAAACUAUUAUGAGUUUGUCCUGCUCCCCACUGCCUGGAAACCAAGCAAACAGAGAGUUACAAAAAAAGAAUUACAAGCAUGAAGGGUGAACAACCAUGUUAAAUGCCGUUGACAUGUCAAAUUAGCUGAGGACUUCCGCAGUGAUGGAUGUAACACUUUGCCACGCAAAAAUGUUAAACGUAGAUCAGGCAGGAUGCAAAAAUAGCAUAACUUCACACUCUGUAAAGUUACACUCCCCAGUACAACUUUCAAACCGGAGCAAUAAAGAGAGAAACAAUUCCCUGGAUCAUUUAUUUUUAAUCUCUCCUCAAUUCUAACAUAUGCAUUCAGGCCAUAAUUGUCCCUCUAAGCAUGGCUUUAACUGCAUUCCAACGUUUGUACAUGUAAUAUUUUAAUUAUCGUUUGUUCAAAACAUAAUUUUAAUUGCCAUCACGCUUUUUCUCAGGCCUGAGAGUUUUUUAAGACUGCUGUUCGGCCGGGCAUGGUGGCUCACACCUGUAAUCCCAGCACUUUGGGAGGCCAAGGCAGGCAGACCACCUGAGAUCGGGAGUUCGAGACCAGCCUGACCAACAUGGAGAAACCCCGUCUCUACUAAAAAUACAAAAUUAGCCAGGUGUGGCGGCACAUGCCUGUAAUCCCAGCUACUCGGGAGGCUGAGGCAGGAGAAUCACUUGAACCCAGGAGGCAGAGGUUGCAGUGAGCCAAGAUUGUGCCAUUGCACUCCAGCCUGGGCAACGAGAGUGAAACUCUGUCUCAAAAAAAAAAAAAAGAAAAGAAAAGAAAG
rnacentral:lncRNA from 1 species